CUAGCCGACUUCAGAGUUUGAUCCUGGCUCAGGACGAACGCUGGCGGCGUGCCUAACACAUGCAAGUCGAACGGAGAUAAACGCUGAUUUGACGGUAGCUUGCUAUUUGAUUUUCUUGUUUAUCUUAGUGGCGGACGGGCGAGUAACGCGUGAGUAACCUGCCCUUCAGAGGGGAACAACAGCCGGAAACAGCUGCUAAUACCGCAUAAUGUCACGAGGCCGCAUGACCUUGUGACCAAAGAUUUUAUCGCUGAAGGAUGGACUCGCGUCCGAUUAGAUAGUUGGUGGGGUAACGGCCUACCAAGUCGACGAUCGGUAGCCGAACUGAGAGGUUGAUCGGCCGCAUUGGGACUGAGACACGGCCCAG
rnacentral:rRNA from 1 species